GAUGAACGCUGACGGCGUGCCUAAUACAUGCAAGUCGAGCGAAUGGAUUAAGAGCUUGCUCUUAUGAAGUUAGCGGCGGACGGGUGAGUAACACGUGGGUAACCUGCCCAUAAGACUGGGAUAACUCCGGGAAACCGGGGCUAAUACCGGAUAAUAUUUUGAACUGCAUGGUUCAAAAUUGAAAGGCGGCUUCGGCUGUCACUUAUGGAUGGACCCGCGUCGCAUUAGCUAGUUGGUGAGGUAACGGCUCACCAAGGCAACGAUGCGUAGCCGACCUGAGAGGGUGAUCGGCCACACUGGGACUGAGACACGGCCCAGACUCCUACGGGAGGCAGCAGUAGGGAAGCUUCCGCAAUGGACGAAAGUCUGACGGAGCAACGCCGCGUGAGUGAUGAAGGCUUUCGGGUCGUAAAACUCUGUUGUUAGGGAAGAACAAGUGCUAGUUGAAUAAGCUGGCACCUUGACGGUACCUAACCAGAAAGCCACGGCUAACUACGUGCCAGCAGCCGCCGUAA
rnacentral:rRNA from 1 species